CGUACACUCCUGCGGGAGGCAGCAGUGGGGAAUAUUGGACAAUGGGCGCAAGCCUGAUCCAGCCAUGCCGCGUGAGUGAUGAAGGCCCUAGGGUUGUAAAGCUCUUUCACCGGUGAAGAUAAUGACGGUAACCGGAGAAGAAGCCCCGGCUAACUUCGUGCCAGCAGCCGCGGUAAUACGAAGGGGGCUAGCGUUGUUCGGAUUUACUGGGCGUAAAGCGCACGUAGGCGGACUAUUAAGUCAGGGGUGAAAUCCCGGGGCUCAACCCCGGAACUGCCUUUGAUACUGGUAGUCUUGAGUUCGAGAGAGGUGAGUGGAAUUCCGAGUGUAGAGGUGAAAUUCGUAGAUAUUCGGAGGAACACCAGUGGCGAAGGCGGCUCACUGGCUCGAUACUGACGCUGAGGUGCGAAAGCGUGGGGAGCAAACAGGAUUAGAAACCCCAGUAGUCCCA
rnacentral:rRNA from 1 species